rnacentral:rRNA from 1 species
AUUGAACGCUAGCGGGAUGCCUUACACAUGCAAGUCGAACGGCAGCAUAAGAGAGCUUGCUCUCUUGAUGGCGAGUGGCGAACGGGUGAGUAAUGUAUCGGAACGUGCCCAGUAGCGGGGGAUAACUACGCGAAAGCGUAGCUAAUACCGCAUAAUGCUUUUGAGCGGCAUCGCUUGAAAGCCAAAGAUUUAUCGCUGAAAGAUGGUCUCGCGUCUGAUUAGCUAGUUGGUGAGGUAACGGCUCACCAAGGCGACGAUCAGUAGCCGGUCUGAGAGGAUGAACGGCCACAUUGGGACUGAGAUACGGCCCAG